AACUUUUAACAAUGGAUCUCUUGGCUCUCGCAACGAUGAAGAACGCAGCGAAAUGCGAUACGUAAUGUGAAUUGCUUUCCGUGAAUCGUUGAAUCUUUGAACGCAUAUUGCACUCCUUUGGAGUAUGCCUGUUUGAGAAUCGUCUUUAUUCUCGCGAGAGGAGGUCGAGUGUCCCGUUUGGGUGCUUGGAAAUGCAAAAAGGCGCCAGCGCACGCCGUGUGUGAGUGAACGAUUUCGCUUCUCGAAUGCGGCCGUGUGCUUGUGUCUGUGCGGUUGAGGUUGAAUGACUAGUGACUAGUGACUAGUAGCCGAGUCUCCUAGCUCCUAGCCGACCUCGACAAAACUAUUCUAGAUCUCAAAUCAGGCAGGAAGACCCGCUGAACUUAAGCAUAUCAAUAAGCGGAGGCU
rnacentral:misc_RNA from 1 species